rnacentral:rRNA from 1 species
UACAGAGGGUGCGAGCGUUGUCCGGAAUCACUGGGCGUAAAGGGCGCGUAGGUGGCGACCCAAGUCGAUGGUGAAAGCUCGCCGCUCAACGGCGAGUCGGCCACCGAUACUGGGUUGCUGGAGCACUGUAGAGGCAGAUGGAAUUCCGGGUGUAGCGGUGGAAUGCGUAGAGAUCCGGGAAGAACGACCGGUGGCGAAGGCGGUCUGCUGGGCAGUUGCUGACACUGAGGCGCGACAGCGUGGGGAGCAAACAGGG